rnacentral:rRNA from 1 species
AUGGACUCCUCCUCCUCCUCCGCCUCCGCCCACGGCAGCGGCGCCGGCGCCGGCCUGCUGGGCCGCGGCGGGGGCAAGGGUGGGAGCAGCGGCGCCGGCAAUGGCAGCGGCAGCGGGAGCGGGAUCGGCGGGGACAGCACGUCGACCAUCGGCGGCGGCGGCGCGUCGGCGGACGCGUGGACCCGGCUCGUCAGCUCCGGCGUUGAGGACGACCUGGUGUGCGCCGUGGGAGCCGGGGCGGGGUUCGGGGCCGGAGGGCUGCCGUACGGCUACUUCCUCGACGCCUGCUUCCUCUGCCGGAAGCCGAUCGCCAGCAACCGCGACAUCUUCAUGUACAGAGGGGACAUCGCGUUCUGCAGCGAGGAGUGCAGGACGGAGCAGAUGGAGGCGGACGAGGAGAUGGAGAGGAAGGAGAAGAGCGCGUCCGCCAAGAAGCUGUCGCAGAGGCCGCCGUCCCUGGGCGAGGUGGAGUCCCCGCCGCGGCCGCCCAAGACCAGGGCCGGCUCAAUCCUCGCCGGCUGA